rnacentral:rRNA from 1 species
CCCCUAGAUGUUCUGGGCCGCACGCGCGCUACACUGAACAGUUCAACAAGUCUUAACCUUGGCCGAUAGGUCUGGGUAAUCUUUGAACGCUGUUCGUGAUUGGGAUAGACCUUUGCAAUUAUGGGUCUUCAACGAGGAAUUCCUAGUAAACGCAAGUCAUCAGCUUGCAUUGAUUACGUCCCUGCCCUUUGUACACACCGCCCGUCGCACCUACCGAUUGAAUGGUCCGGUGAAAUCUCGGAACGGCGGCUUGGUCGCUUGCGUCCGACUGCUGAAACUUGAUUAAACCAUAUCAUUUAGAGGAAGGUGAANUCGUAACA